GAGUUUGAUCCUGGCUCAGGACGAACGCUGGCGGCGUGCCUAAUACAUGCAAGUCGAGCGGACUUCUUAAAAGCUUGCUUUUAAGAAGUCAGCGGCGGACGGGUGAGUAACACGUGGGCAACCUGCCUGUAAGACUGGGAUAACUUCGGGAAACCGGAGCUAAUACCGGAUAAUAUAAGGAACCUCCUGGUUCUUUAUUGAAAGAUGGUUUCGGCUAUCACUUACAGAUGGGCCCGCGGCGCAUUAGCUAGUUGGUGAGGUAAUGGCUCACCAAGGCGACGAUGCGUAGCCGACCUGAGAGGGUGAUCGGCCACACUGGGACUGAGACACGGCCCAGACUCCUACGGGAGGCAGCAGUAGGGAAUCUUCCACAAUGGACGAAAGUCUGAUGGAGCAACGCCGCGUGAGCGAUGAAGGCCUUCGGGUCGUAAAGCUCUGUUGUUAGGGAAGAACAAGUGCGAGAGUAACUGCUCGCACCUUGACGGUACCUAACCAGAAAGCCAC
rnacentral:rRNA from 1 species